rnacentral:tRNA from 1 species
UUUCUUUUAGCUUAAGGGUUAAAGCGUUAGUUUGAAGCACUAAAUAUAACUGUCAGUUAAAGAGGA